CGGUGCGGCAAGUACCACGGCUAUUCCUGCGUGCCGUCCACACUCACCUGACGACUGCUCGCGACGUAUUGUUUGCC
rnacentral:sRNA from 1 species